GAAAGUCCUUUGGGAACUCUGGGAAGAAAUUUCGUGAAAGCGAUAUGAACUUUCGCUUUUCAAAAGAUGCGUAUCUAAGCGUAUUUUAACUGCAGUUAUACCUGUACAUGGCGUAAACUAUGGGGUAAUUUAGAAUCUCAACGUGGAGUUGUGGCUAGGCCGUCGGCAUGGCGGUGAGCGAAGAUUCUUGAACUGUUGCAACUUUUGUUUUUUGGGCGGCUUGCACUGUCUGCGAUCUUUCUGCUGAUCGAAGAAUCUCAAUGUGGAGUGUCUAUCAUUCUGUGGCUAGCCAGUCAGCCGGGCGUUGAGCGAAGAUUCUUGAGCAGUUGCAACUUUUGUGUUUUGGGCAGCUUAUGCUGUCAGACUGUGAUCUGACUGCUUAUCGAAGGCAUGUCGAUGUCUGGAUUAACUCUCCUAAAGAACCCUUUCAACGGAAUGUGGUAAGU